CCUACGGGAGGCAGCAGUGAGGAAUAUUGGUCAAUGGGCGAGAGCCUGAACCAGCCAAGUCGCGUUAAGGAUGACGGCCCUACGGGUUGUAAACUUCUUUUGUCAGGGAGCAAUUGGGUCCACGCGUGGGCUUAGCGAGAGUACCUGAAGAAAAAGCAUCGACUAACUCCGUGCCAGCAGGCACGGUAAUACGAAGGAUGCGAGCGUUAUCUGGAUUUAUUGGGUUAAAGGGGUGCGUAGGCGGAAUAUCAAGUCAGCGGGAAAAAUUAGGGGCUCAACCCAGUCGUGCCGUUGAAACUGGUGAUCUAGAGUGGGCGAGAAGGAGGUGGAAUGCGUGGUGUAGCGGUGAAAUGCAUAGAGAUGACGAAGAACUCCGAUGGCGAAGGCAGCAUACCGGCGCCCAACUGACGCUGAAGCACGAAAGCGUGGGUAUCGAACAGGAUUAGAUACCCCAGUAGUC
rnacentral:rRNA from 1 species